GCCCCGUUAGUCUAGUCCGGUCAAGAAUGCGGCCCUUUCGAGGCCGUGGCACGGGUUCAAAUCCCGUACGGGGCA
rfam:Arc I group archaeon T1lsi0528_Bin089 AMQ74_contig000122, whole genome shotgun sequence.